rnacentral:rRNA from 1 species
AAAAGAACAAGAAGUUGUUAAAGACGUACCUUUUGUAUCAGGGGAAGUCAAAAGAUAAGUUAAUUAGGAAUCGAUUUUAGCAGAGCCUUGUGCGGGGUAGUUAUAGUUGAAUUUAUAAAUUUGAUAAAUUACGGGGUAAAAAAUGUACGGUGCUUAUGGUAUCUAUUUGUUUUUUUGUUGAGGGGCAAGCUUUCAGGGGCUUAAUUAGAUAAAAAAUUUAGGGAGUUAGGCUUUAUAUUAGCCAGAUUAUUAAAUUGUUUUAAAUAACUAAAUUGAAGAGAAAAAAUUAAGACUUAGAGACUUGGCCCGCACACAAAGUUGGGCCUAAAUAAUGAAUUUAUUGAACAAAGAGUGGAGUGUAAAAACGACUCGUGACUGGUUAGAAUGUUUAGCAAAAACAUUUUCUUUUUUGGUAAAAAAGAUAAGACCUGCCCGGUGAUUUUUAACGGCUGCGGUAUUUUGACUGUGCUAAGGUAGCAUAAUCACUUGUUGCUUAAUUGGUAGCUGGAAUGAAAGGUUAAACUAACUUAUUUAGUUUGUUGCAUUAGUUGAGAUAUUAAAGUCAAGGUAAGAAUUCUUUGAUGUUGCUAGGGGACGAUAAGACCCUAGAAGCUUGACAAUAAGAGUAUUCGUUAGUUAUGGAGAUAAGUUUGUUUUACUGGGGCGGUAAAGGUAUAUAAUCUAUUAAAUUGUUGAAGGAUCCUUAAAAUAAAGAUAAAACGGAAAAGUUACUCUAGGGAUAACAGUGCGAUAUAUUUGGAGAGAUCUUAUCGAUAAAUAUGUUUGCAACCUCGAUGUUGAAUUAAAAUAUCUACGUGAAGCAGAAGGUACGUAAGAAGGUUUGUUCAACC